CAUCUGGUCCACGAAGUCGUCACCAAGCUUUGCACUCUGGGAUUUGUGGUUUGUAGCAGAUCCAGUAGGACAUGAAGACCAAGAAAUGCACCAACAAAUCCCAUAAUGCAUGCGGCACCUCUGCAGCUAGCGCUCACACGAAAUGCAGCCGCGCGCCUGUUGCUCAGUCUUUAGCUGGAUCGCCGCUGAACGUGAACUACCUCGUGUGUCUACCGGGCAGAUGGAUGUGUCUACCGUGCAGAGAGAUGUGUCUACCGUGCAGAGAGAUGUGCAGCCUUCGUGGUGCUCAAGCCGUCCUGAUGGCUCAGUCGUUGUGGACUUUUAACUCAGUGUCUUGAAAUGGUUCAGUCGUUGUGGACCUUUAACUCAGUGCCUUGAAAUGGCUCAGUCGUUGUGGACCUGUAACUCAGUGUCUUGAACCGAUCACUCCGAUCACCUCUCCGUGGCCUGACGUGCGCAUCCCAUCCGUCGAAAUGAAGGAGGGCCCACGGAGACCGAAGGGCUGUGAUUGGUCCAACCCACGGGGACCGAAGGGCUGUGAUUGGUCCAACCCACGGGGACCGAAGGGCUGUGAUUGGUCCAACCCACGGGGACCGAAGGGCUGUGAUUGGUCCAACCCACGGAGACCGAAGGGCUGUGAUUGGUCCAACCCACGGAGACCGAAGGGCUGUGAUUGGUCCAACCCAUGCUGUUUACCUUGUAGAUGGUUCAGUCGUUGUGGACCUUUACCAGUGUCUUGAAAAAACCAUAUUGUUGCAUGGAGCAAAGCUGAUUGGCCAGUUGGAACAGGAAGUUGGGAAACACUAGUUUAAAUAUGUCUCUCUGUUUGUAAUGUGUAAUACAUUUGUAAUUAAAUGCCCACACACACACACACACACUAGUUUAAAUCUGUCUCUCUGUUUGUAAUGUGUAAUACAUUCUGUAAUUAAAUGCCCACACACACACACACUAGUUUAAAUCUGUCUCUCUGUUUGUAAUGUGUAAUACAUUCUGUAAUUAAAUGCCCACACACACACACACUAGUUUAAAUCUGUCUCUCUGUUUGUAAUGUGUAAUACAUUCUGUAAUUAAAUGUAAUACAUCUCUAAAUGAUCAAAAUGGGUAGUUUGGCUUUGAGAAUGAAUGUAGACCCUAACCCCCCUAAGUACUGUUGAAUGCCCACACACACACACUGUUGAAUGCCCAACCCCACACACACACAGGUUCCUGAGAAGUGCAAGUUAUACACACACACACACCUGAGAGAGGUGCAGGUCUCACACACACACACACACCUGAGAGAGGUGCAGGUUACACACACACACACACAGGCAGGUUCCUGAGAGAGGUGCAGGUUAUACACACACACACACAGAGGCAGGUUACACACACCUGAGAGAGGUGCAGGUUACACACACACACACACACACAGAGGCAGGUUACACACACACACCUGAGAGGUGCAGGUUACACACACACACACAGGCAGGUUCCUGAGAGAGGUGCAGGUUAUACACACACACACAGAGGCAGGUUACACACACCUGAGAGAGGUGCAGGUUACACACACACACACAGAUCAGAUCAGAUGCUAACUGUGCAUUUGACACCUUCCAAUCUGGUUUUCGUUCCAAUCAUAGCACAAACGGCAUUAGUCAAGGUUGUAAAUGAUCUCCGGAUUAAUGCUGACUCCAAAAAAAACAUCUGUCUUGGCCCUUCUGGAUCUGAGCGCAGCUUUUGAUACUGUUGAUCACGAUAUCCUUAUUGAUAGACUUGAAAAUUGGGUUGGCCUCACUGGUCCGGUAGCCUAUCCAACUGGCCGGGAAUACUUUGUUGCCCUCGGAGACCACAGCUCAAAAAACAUUUGUAUGACCUGUGGGGUCCCUCAAGGAUCCAUUUUAGGGCCCUUACUUUUCAGUCUAUACAUGCUACCCCUUAGUCGAUGUUGUGCCUCCUAAUUACACUACCAUCAUAGCUAUGCAGAUGACACCCAGCUCUAUAUUUCUGUAACACCCAACAACUGCAGCUCUGUUGAUUGUUUGGUAAAUUGCAUUUCUGAUAUAAAUGUAUGGAUGUCACAAAACUUCUCCAGCUAAACAAGAUUAAAACAGGUAUUAGUCAUUGGUGAAAAAACGAAAGAGAGAAACUAUCUGCACACUUAAAAACACUAGCACUUAACACCAAGCACCAAGCCAGAAACCUA
ensembl:lncRNA